UCCGAGUUGACCCCGGCAGUCUCCAGUAACCGUCCUACCAUGUCAAACGCUGGUAAGGUUCUGCGCGUUGCUUCGAAUUAAACCACAUGCUCCACCGCUUGUGCAGGCCCCCGUCAAUUUCUUUGAGUUUUAACCUUGCGGCCGUACUCCCCAGGCGGAUAACUUAACGCGUUAGCUGCGCCACCUAAGCUCCAAGAGCCCAGACAGCUAGUUAUCAUCGUUUACGGCGUGGACUAC
rnacentral:misc_RNA from 1 species